rnacentral:lncRNA from 1 species
GGUGGGUGCCCGGGGUCACACUCUCUGCCUGACUGAUGGGUUUGCUGGUCUCUCUGUCACCUUCUCCCACCUCUCCUGGACCCAGCAGGCCCUCAGUCCUAGCUGUCUUACCUGUGCUCAGCUUGGAGUCUGAGGCCUCAGGUGGAGAUCCGCCUGUCACUGUCAGAGGGAGAGAAGAUUCCUCCAGUCACUAUUUUCUAAGCAUGUCGGGCACCAACCAAUGCUGAGUUCUGCUGUGUGCCCACCCUGGAGGGUCCCAAGGUGCCACCAGGCCCAGAUUCAGCUUCCCACCCAACCCUGGGCCCCCAGGAGGUGGAGUCAAGAGGGGCCAUGGCCUGGGGUGCGGGCUUCUCUUCCUCCCAGAACACUGGCGAGGCAGAUAAUUCCCAAACAGAAGACCCCCAAGGCGGAGGGCCCUGGGGCUGGACUCCUAGCCUCCAGGAGGUUGUUCUGAGCUUACCCUGUGGACGGAUUGGAGGGUGGACCUCUUUCCCCGCAAGGAUCAAGAGGGAGUGGGGGAUG